AUGAAUCAAAAUGCCUAGCCUCAGUGAUUUAAGGAGUUCACUAAACUGACCUAUAAAUAAAGCAGCUGAAAGAAGUUUGGAACAUAACACAUAGAAAUGUAUUUAUUUUUCUCCAAGGAGUGAAUGAGCCCAUGUCCCUGAGGGGCCCAGAGGGCAGGAAUCUGCCCUCAGUUUGUGCAGAUUAAAGACCACUUUCUCAUCUAGAGUGAAAGACACGGGACCUUGAAUUGGAAGAACUUGAAAAAAUUAAAAGGCAUGGAGACCUUAUUGCCCUGAAUGUGGUUUCAGGUAGGUGAUUUGUUCUAAUCUCAGCCAAAGUCUGAGCCCAUUGCAGAGAAGGCAGCAUGCUGGUGGCAGAAGGAGGGACAUGGAGAGAGGAAGGCGUGGAAAACAUUGAUCCAAGCGAAAAUGGCCCUGGGAAGAAAGGCAGAGGUGUUUUUGUUUGUUUGUUUGUUUUAUUAUUUUUUUUAUUAAUCUUUUAUUUGAGUAGUUGUUACACAAUGUCACAUUGGCUUCAGUUGUACAACAUACUGAUUCAACUUCUUUAUAUGUUAUGCUCACCACAAGUGUAGCCACCAUCUGCACCCUACAACACUGGAGGUUCUUGAUUUCCUCCAGUUGGGAACAACUGUGAGCAUGGACAGCAGCAGUGACAGAAUGGGCUCCAGCUCCUGAAUCAGCAGGCAGCACGGAGGGAAUGGCUUGUAAUCUCAGCACCUGAGCUCUGUGAAGCAGAAUAUGCGGCCCCAAAAAUAUGACUGAAGGACUCCAGGACAUGCCACCCUAACAUAUGCUGCUUUGGUACACUGAUUACUUUGACCUGAAAGCACUGGAAAACAGCAGAUGCAGGAGGACUCUGAUCUCCCUCAUCUGCCUUAAGUCAGACCCUCCAAAAGGAACUAGGUCAUCAUCAAUCCCCUCCUGGGAGUGUCUUCAGCAAGGAAGAUGGAUUCUUAGUACAGGAGAUGAGACUAAAAGUCGGCAUCGCAUCCAGACACACUCUGUCCCAAACCGUCAGACUCCCCAUCGAGUCUUCUGAGGGCCCCUUCUGCUUUCCUAAAACCAUUUUCUCUCCCCUAAGAAGCCUGCAACUUCCCUUUUCCUUAUUAAGAUGGCAUUUAUUCCUGAGUUCUAAGCCACCUCAGACAGUUAGUCAUUUUCCCCCAUGAAACUUCCACGUA